CAGCAGCCACGGUAAUACGUAGGGUGCAAGCGUUAAUCGGGAUUACUGGGCGUAAAGCGUGCGCAGGCGGUUCGCUAAGACAGAUGUGAAAUCCCCGGGCUUAGCCUGGGAACUGCAUUUGUGACUGGCGGGCUAGAGUAUGGCAGAGGGGGGUAGAAUUCCACGUGUAGCAGUGAAAUGCGUAGAGAUGUGGUGGAAUACCGAUGGCGAAGGCAGCCCCCUGGGCCAAUACUGACGCUCAUGCACGAAAGCGUGGGGAGCAAACAGGAUUAGAUACCCCCGUAGUCCCUGUCUCUUAUAC
rnacentral:rRNA from 1 species